CAUCCCAGGGUGGGGGGACUGGUGGCUAACACAACAACAACAACAAGACCACAUCAACAUAGGGGACAUAUGGACAUCACUGCAACUCCUACACAGGCUUUAUCUCAAUUGACUUCUAAAACACUGGAUUAUUUGGCUUUAGACCUUUUACUUUUUCGAUCAAAACGGAUUUUAUCAAAGAAACAGUUUUGGCCUAGCCAUGCAGAAUCAGCAGACACUGGAGGAUUCCUCCCUGACCUCAACCUUAUGGAAUACGGCCGGUCAGAUGGUGUGUUUCACGUCAUCUCCUGGCAGUGUUUGGACCUGAGGGGCUCAUAGGGGAGAUGGGUUCAGCCAGGGGAGGACAUCCAAGUCAUGUGACUAUGUGCCAUGAAACCUCAUGGGAGGAUAUAGUAUUAGUUCAUUUAUUUGCUUAGAUGGAGAGAUUACAAAAGGUUAUGACCAACAAGAUGCGCAACAUCAACCCAUGUGGGGAGAGGAAGGGUGAGCCUCACUUCUCAGCCAAGUGAAUGUGAGAUGAACUAAGGGAGAGGCCAAGUGGAUAUGAGAUGAACCAAGUGGAUCAUGGACAGUGUAGGUAGAUUGGAAGGAGGAUGUGAAGAGAACAAUGUAGGUGCUGGGCUGGGAAUAAAUCAAGGCAAAAUUCAUAAUAAUAAAGAUGAUAUGGGAUGUGAUACGAAAGAUAAAGCAUGUCAGGACAAGAGGACCAAAAGAGAAAGAUUGCAAUGAAUGAAAAGUCGGUCUCCCUUUGUAUAGCAGGGUAUAUUUAUACACUGUAAUCUGAAGUGUUUGGUCCUGCUGGUAAUGGUCACAUUGCAAUGCUAACUUAACGUGUUUAUAUUCAGUAACGCAAAAGCCACCUGUAGCAAUAAAAUGCAAGAACAUUCUGGAACUUAAAGGCAAAAUGAGCAGACAAUUAAGCUGAAAAGAGCACCAAGAUCUUGACCCGUUGCGAUCAUCAUUUGUUAUUGUAGCAGUGCUACUACUACGAGAACAAUAAACAAUAGGGCAGGCACUUCUGAGCGGGUAGUGGAGGAGUGGAAUCCUGACGUUGAGAAGGCAAGCGGAGAGAGUUAUAGUAGGGGAUCAUUGUGAUAAUAUACGAGACCAUACUGUCAGCAGGACCAUACUGUCAUCUCUACAGUCAAGUGCUCUAUGCCCAUCGUGCAACACUUUAAUAUUCCUCCUUGGAAUAUUGGAAAAGAAACAGUAAUGACACAUUCUCCCCAGUCACACCCACAACAACUGAAGGCCUCAGCAGACGAAAGACUCUUUCUAAUCAACAGCCAUUUAUUUGCAUUGAGCUAUAGGACCAGGACCUCCCAGUCGUUAACUGUCUUAUUCAUGUUUUCUUAGGUUCAGCGUGUCGGCUCCCACAGUGUUCAUCCAGUCACGGACCUCGUCAUGAGCCCUUAUGGCAGAAUACACAACUACAAAGUCAUAUAUCCAGUAACAUGGUUCCCUACUGUUAGCAGUUGCACGUUGUUUAGCCCCAAUUGGCUCUACAUCUAAUUCUCUCAAAUGAACGAAGUACCAAUGACGCUAUGGUCCUGCCUUGUAAUAAAAACACAUGUAGCCUGUAGCAACAGCUGUACUGUUAUGAAAGACUUUUACGUCAUGAUUGACAUUUUAUUAUUAUUCUGGGCAUGAUGAGUACUUAUAAAUGAAAGCCAGCUUAAGGCAUGAGUGGUGUCUCCUUCUAAAGUUGAUUUUUUUUCUUUCUCAGGACUUGUAAACACAUCAAAUUAGUAAAUGAAUACAUGAGACUUUUUCACAUGGAGACUUUACCAGCUGGACCAUAUUGUAUCUAUGAUCUAUGUUGAUUUAACUACUAAAUGAAGUCAUUUGACCCAGGAAUACGCCAAGAAUUUCCUGUGAUGUUGAGAGUAUUCCAAGAUUUUCUUUAAUGUACUGUAUAUUGCUGUGCACGGAAAUGUCUGUCAUCAAAAUAAGUUCAGUCAAUGAAACAUGAUGUUUUGGGGAAGUCACUUUAACACACCAGACCACUGCAUUUAGGAAAACACUCUUGAUCUAGGUUCUGGUGUCCAUAUCAUGGAUCACUUUGAUAUGUGCCAUUAUAAUGUGUUGAACUUUUAGUAUCCCCAGGGCCUAUUAUAUCUGUAUAGGACUAACAGCAACCGUGUUAAUGACUUGGAGUAAGAGCUUUGAACGGGACUGUGAUGCCAAGUUACCCAAAAUCCAUAAUGAUCCCUGAUGACAGAAUUUACAUGGGGAUUAAUGGACUCUGUGUCCAUUAGUUCAGCAAAGAUCUAUGACACAGUAUAAACAGAUUCAAAUGCAGUGUUCAGGAACAAAUCUGUGGGAUAAUAGAUCUUCACAAACAGGUCCCAAGACAGGAAUAUGGAUCUGGAUUGGAAGUAGCAAAUCCAAACAUGUUAAUCUGUGUGUGCUGAUGUAUGAUAAACAGUGAAGGACAAGUGGUGUAUGUCAUAUUGAAUAUAUACACGUGCGUUAGUAGUAGACGAAUACUAACGCUUGAGCAGGUGUGCUAACUGAGUACUAAUGUGGGCUUUGCUGGAAGGGUUGGCUGAUGAUCUGAAAAUAAUUGUGUCCAUGUCAGUUAAACCCUUAUCAAGCCUCAAUUACUCCUGGCACACUAUUUCCAACAAGGCAGCCCUGCUGAUAGUUCAGCCGAAACAACAGAACACACCACCGGCCUGACUGAAUGAACAGCCAGAGGCCUUGAAGUCACCAUAAACAUUCCCAUCUUUUGUCAACUUGAACACUACCUAGGACGAGGGGCAUCACUGGCCAGCGCUAGCAGUUUGCCACCGAACAUGGAAAUGGUUGGCUGCCUGUCUGGCUGCAAAAGGGGCCCCUGAAAGGAACAGCCAGUCUCACAGCGCAAGAGGGUGUUGACAAUGACACAGAUGCUUUCAGACAGUCAAAGCCUGGGGGGCGGGGGGUGCAUCAAACUUAUUCCUUAGCUCUUAUUGAAAAUAAUUUCAGUUUUUCCCCCCAAGUAGAAAAUAAUGUAUGAUUACCAUUACUGACGAAAAACUUUUGGUUUUAGUUUUCUGUCUUCUGUGUCUCUGUUUGUAAAUGUCUCAGAUUAAAAUGGUAUUGGUCAGCAUCUGAAAAAUGACCAAACUGAAGCCAAUGUCUCUUUGUUCUCCUGUUAAUCCUUCUUGGAGUCUGAAGUCUGUCUUCAAAAACAUCCUCCCCCUUUCAGUCAUGUUCUCUGUAUGUUCUGUGUUUUAUGACACUGUAUGUUCCACUAAGUGCAGCAGAACCCUCAGCAGAGAGGUGUAGUAAUAAAAGGGCUUGAUCAUG